rfam:Hordeum vulgare subsp. vulgare, WGS project CAJW01000000 data, contig: morex_contig_2416032
UUGUCUCAAAGAUUAAGCCAUGCAUGUCUAAGUGCAAGCCACAUUAAGGUGAAACCGCGGAAGGCUCAUUAUAUCAGUUAUGGUUCAAUAGAUCGUACUUCAGUUACAUGGAUAACUGCGGAAAUACUGGAGCUAAUACAUGCCAACAGAGUCCCGACCGGAGACGGAAGGGACGCUUUUAUUAGAUCAAAACCAAUCGGUGGUUUCGGCCAUCGUCUACUUUGGUGACUCUGAAUAACUUUGGGCUGAUCGCACGGCCUUCGUGCCGGCGACGCAUCUUUCAAAUGUCUGCCUUAUCAACUGUCGAUGGUAGGUUCUGCGCCUACCAUGGUUGUAACGGGUAACGGGGAAUCAGGGUUCGAUUCCGGAGAGGGAGCCUGA